rnacentral:rRNA from 1 species
AACGAACGCUGGCGGCAGGUCUUAGGCAUGCAAGUCGAACGAGAAAGUCCUUUCGGGGGCGAGUAGAGUGGCGCACGGGUGAGUAAUGUAUGGGAAUUUACCUUAUGGUGGGGGAUAACUUCUGGAAACGGAAGCUAAUACCGCAUAAGCCCUUCGGGGGAAAGAUUUAUCGCCAUAAGAUGAGCCCAUAUUAGAUUAGCUAGUUGGUGGGGUAAAGGCCUACCAAGGCUACGAUCUAUAGCUGGUUUGAGAGAACGAUCAGCCACACUGGAACUGAGACACGGUCCAG